UACGUAGGGGGCAAGCGUUGUCCGGAUUUAUUGGGCGUAAAGAGCGUGUAGGCGGCCAGACAAGUCUGCUGUGAAAACUCGAGGCUCAACCUCGAGCUGUCGGUGGAAACUGUCUGGCUAGAGUCCGGAAGAGGAGAGUGGAAUUCCUGGUGUAGCGGUGAAAUGCGCAGAUAUCAGGAAGAACACCUAUGGCGAAGGCAGCUCUCUGGGACGGUACUGACGCUGCGACGCGAAAGCGUGGGGAGCGAACAGG
rnacentral:rRNA from 1 species